AUGUCCACAUCCAGGUUCAACCCUAACCCUAGCUUCAUGUCCACAUCUCGGUUCAACCCUAACUUCAUGUCCACAUCUCGGUUCAACCCUAACUUCAUGUCCACAUCUCGGUUCAACCCUAACCCUAGCUUCAUGAGGACCACUUUGGAAACAAGGGUUUUAAUUAAUACUUUGAAGUGCUAUACUCUGGGACCACAUUCAUUGUACAUAUUGUUGUAUAUGUCUCUUACCCAAAUAAGUUCAAUUCAAUUCAUGUCCACAUCCUGGUUCAACCCUUACCCUUGCCUCAAUAACAAUCACAACCCUAACCCUUACCUUAACCUUAGCUUCAUGUCCACAUCCUGGUUCAACCCUUACCCUUGCCAGAAUCACAACCCCCCUAACCCUAACACUAGCUCCAUGUCCACAAGUACCAGUUCUGUUCUCAGAAACAGAAACAGUAACCAACGGUUCAGUAAAUCCACAGCUUACACCUGAUAUUUUUAGCGGAAGUCAUUUUCAACACUUUGUCAUCACAGGGCCCUCAAAGGAAAGCAUGCCCCUCUAAACCCUGCAGUAAAGCAGACAUGUCUGUUGGGAAUUAAAAGGGCUUUCUAGGUAUGCAUUUUACAGCAUGUCCUGCAUUCUUCAGUCCCCAAGGGGAGAGGAAUGUGAUUUACAGGGUCUCUGUAUGAGUGACAAGGUAUUCAGGACACACACACACACGACUCUACAGCUGCCCACAGACAUCAGCCACAGACAGUCUGGCACACGGCACAGCGGGGGGGGGGGGCAGUGUCGACAAACACUGGCACUGGUCUGGACUGGUCUCCACCGCUGCUGACCACUGGACCAGGAACAACUCAAAUGAUACAUUGGCAACAUCCACAGGUUGAUGAAAGGCUAACACGAGAUACACCAUCUCCAUCCAGUCAAACCUGUGGGACAUGGGACUAGUGCUGGAGCAGUGUACUGAGCCACAGGCCCAUAAGAGGACCACAGUACUAAUGAUGUUCUAAUAUAACGCUGCUGUCCUCUGGAACAGGCCCUUCACUGAUUGGAUGAGCAAUGAGAGCAGGGCAAAGAGCUGCAAGUGCCAUGCUGUAAAAUCAAUCAAUUGGCCAAGCAGGCAGAUCCAGGCUGGCUGGUUUACAGGGAGCAGGCAGAUCCAGGCUGGCUGGUUUACAGGGAGCAGGCAGGCAGGCCCCCCUAAUUACCACACAGGGUUAAGUCCUUACGUCGCUCAGCAUGGGGUCUAAAACAACCACCUUUGGGUCAUUGAAUAGAACAACAAUUGCAUUUGAUUAUUCAACCAAAUUAAACAUUGCAAAAGAUGAUGUACAGUAUGUAAUGAUUUGUCAAUUUAACUCCAGUAAAAUGGUACUGUGACAGUUCCCUAAACCAUCCCUGCCUGAUAAAAAUUCUGAACACCUAGUUUGUCUUCUGCAGCACCCUAGACCUUCAUCAGAGAAGGCUUUCAUCCUGUGUCCCCUAGUCAGAACAUCACCAUCCACGGUGGUGCAUCAGAUCAGCCUCAACACACACACACACACACACACACUUCCCCCUGCGGAGGGGCCUACACAUGUCUGUUAGUGAUCUGCCGGAGAUCUGAGGGUCUCUCCGUUCUCACCAGGCCCCCGUGAGAGCUUCCAAGAGGGGCAGCCAGCCCCCCCCCCCCUCCUCCCGCCGCUCCACUCUGCUGGUGCUUGCUCUCAUUUAACUUCCAGAGUGAAGAGCAUUUGCUGCAUGAGACACACCCAGGCCAACACACUUGAAGUGCCUCUCCUACAUCUCCUGGAUGUUGUUAAUUAGAUAUAGCACAAUACCAAAGCGCUCCUCUCCGAAAGUGGUGUCAGGGGCUUCUGUCAGAGAGAGAGAGAGAGAGAAAGAGAGAGAGAGAUAGAGCGCAAGCAGCCACAAAGUUGUCAGAACACGCACUCCCAAUGAGGAGGAGAGGGGGAGGGUAGGAGAUGAUGGUUUUCCCUGCAUUUUGGAUGUAACAGUGCCCGGGCUGGUCCUUAUUGGGGAAAUGAUUAUUGUUUGAAAUGGGAUUGUCCCAUGCCUGCUCAGUUGGAACAGCACAUUUUAUACAUGGGCAGCCAGUCUACCCGACGAGUGUUGCUCACUGUUUGACUGGCCGCAUGGGGANNNNNNNNNNUCAGAGGAAAACUUUUUUUCUAAUCUAUUUAGUCAUGUCAGGUCUACUUCCACACAGUGUCUUCGAUAUGAGCCGUCGUCUUAUUUGUCUGCCGCGUUGAGUUGGACUACUGAGAUGAACAGUGACGUCUCAGUGUCGGGGACAAGUUGUGGCUGGAAUUAAGCAACCACUUCUGAAGAAUAUGCAAACGCUUGAUAUGAUACAUAUUCUGGGGGUGACAACGUUGCUAUUAACUCUUGGUGAUGAAUUAGGAAAAAUCUAAAAGGGAAAGAGAAUCCUCCUUUUCGGUGUCAAAUGACUUUUUCUCCAGUACCGCCCUUGAUGAUGACGAGGAUACUAAGAUAUAGUGUAUUAGGAAUCUACGUUUUUUUUUUGUAUACUGCCGUGCAACUCUGUUGUGUUGGAUAUGUAUAUAUCUUUUGUACAUUUUUAUGAAAUACAAUAUUGUUUUUUUNNNNNNNNNNNNNNNNNNNNNNNNNNNNNNNNNNNNNNNNNNNNNNNNNNNNNNNNNNNNNNNNNNNNNNNNNNNNNNNNNNNNNNNNNNNNNNNNNNNNNNNNNGGGGGGGGGGGUUAGAGGACAUGCAGUCUCCUUCACCAUCUCAUUUGUGACAAAGUAGAUUUGACUGACAGGGUGGAUCCGGUGCUCAUUGGACCAGCAACAUUUCAAUCAUUCACUUAAUCAGAAUUUUCCAUCGGUCAGAGACACCAUUCAACCCAGCAACUAGCAUUGGCUUUAAGUAUCACCACGUCUCCUUGAUAUCCCUGGUCAUUAUAUGAUCUCAAUAAUGGUUAAACAACCACAUUACAGGAAUAGUCAAAACAGCACAUGAAUAUACAGUUGAAGUCGGAAGUUUACAUACACCUUAGCCAAAUACAUUUAAACUCAGUUUUUCACAAUUCCUGACAUUUAAUCCUAGUAAAAAGCCACUGUCUUAGGUCAGUUAGGAUCACCACUUUAUUUUAAGAAUGUGAAAUGUCAGAAUAAUAGUAGAGAGAAUUAUUUAUUUCAGCUUUUAUUUAUUUCAUCACAUUCCCAGUGGGUCAGAAGUUUACAUGCACUCAAUUAUUAUUUGGUAGCAUUGCUUUAAAUUGUUUAACUUGGGUUUAACGUUUCGGUUAGCCUUCCACAAGCUUCCCACAAUAAGUUGGGUGAAUUUUGGUCCAUUCCUCCUUACAGAGCUGGUGUAAUUGAGUCAGGUUUGUAGGCCUCCUUGCUCGCACACGCUUUUUCAGUUCUGCCCACAAAUUGUCUAUAGGAUUGAAGUCAGGGCUUUGUGAUGGCCACUCCAAUACUUUGACUUUGUCAAGCCAUUUUGCCACAACUUUGGAAGUAUGCUUGGGGUCAUUGUCCAUUUGGACAACUUCCUGACUGAUGUCUUGAGAUGUUGCUUCAAUAUAUCCACAUAAUUUUCAUUCCUCAUGAUGCCAUCUAUUUUGUGAAGUGCACCAGUCCCUCCUGCAGCAAAGCACCCCCACAACAUGAUGCUGCCACACCCGUGCUUCAUGGUUGGUAUGGUGUUCUUUGGCUUGCAAGCCUCCCCCUUUUGCCUCCAAAUGUAGCGAUGGUCAUUAUGACCAAACAGUUAUAUUUUUGUUUCAUCAGACCAGAGGACAUUCCUCCAAAAAGUACGAUCUUUGUCCCCAUGUUCAGUUGCAAACCGUAGUCUGUCUUUUUUUAUGGUGGUUUUGGAGCAGUGGCUUCUUCCUUGCUGAGCGGCCUUUCAGGUUAUGUUGAUAUAGGACUCGUUUUACUGUGGAUAUCGAUACUUUUGUACCUGUUUCCUCCAGCAUCUUCACAAGGUCCUUUGCUGUUGUUCUGGGAUUGAUUUGCACUUUUCACAUUAAAGUACGUUCAUCUCUAGGAGACAGAACAUGUCUCUUUCCUGAGUGGUAUGACGGCUGCGUGGUACCAUGGUGUUUAUACUUCCGUGCUAUUGUUUGUAAAUUGCUCCCAAGGAUGAACCAGACUUGUGGAGGUCUACAAUUUUUUUCUGAGGUCUCAGCUAAUUUCUUUUGAUUUUCCCAUGAUGUCAAGCAAAGAGGCACUGAGAUUGAAGGUAGGCCUUGAAAUACAUCCACAGGUACACCUCCAAUUGACUCAAAUUAUGUCAAUUAGCCUAUCAGAAGCUUCUAAAGCCAUGACAUAAUUUUCUGGAAUUUUCCAAACUGUUUAAAGGCACAGUCAACUUAGUGUAUGUAAACUUUUGACCCACUGGAUUUGUGAUACAGUGAAUUAUAAGUGAAAUAAUCUGUCUGUAAACAAUUGUUGGAAAAAUGACUUAUGUCAUGCACAAAGUAGAUGUCCUAACCGACUUGCCAAAACUAUAAUUUGUUAACAAGAAAUGUGUGGAGUGGUUGAAAAACGAGUUUUAAUGACUUCAACCUAAAUGUAUGUAAACAUCUGACCUCAACUGUAUAUUUUAGUGAUAAGUGCUAUUGACAACUGCACAGUUAAUGUGAAACGCUUAACUUGCAUGUUCUACCUAACAGCGCAGUAAUCAAUAUAACAAAUGUAUAACUAAUUAAAAUAUAUAUAUAUAUACAAUAAAGAAAACAUGAGAAAUAAGAAAUGAAAUAGGAAGCUAUGGUGGUGCAAUGUAAAGUGAGCGCUGUCUCGGAGGCAAACCCAAGAUGCAAGUUGUUUUAGAGCAGGGUUCCCCAACUGGCCCCCAUGUUCUCUGAGCAAUAAAAAAAAAGUUUAUAUUUUUUAUUGUUGGGCAUAAGACUGUCAAAACACCAGCAAAUCCACUCAAUAUUGGAAAUAUGUUCUAAAGUAUUCCCAAGCAUAAUAGAGACAUACAUGUAUGUGCUCGUAAACAAAUGUAAGCAAGGUUUUAAAUUAUUAUGUUUUAGUCAAAUAGGACAUCUGUUUGGGCUUCUUACGGUCAAUUUGCAGUCCACAAAUGAUUGAAAAUGUAGUUCUGGCCCCCUGACCCUCCCCUCAAUAAAAUCAUUGUCCCGCGGCUGAAUCUAGUUGAUGAUCCAUGUUUUAGACCGUCCAAAGAGAGAGAAAGAUCUCAUUGAAUAGUAUUCUCCUGCGGCAGAGCGGUGCAGCAACCUGGGAGUCAUAAACCCUUCUGAGGUUGGUUUAUAAGGAGUAUUGAUAA
rnacentral:lncRNA from 13 species